AGAGUUUGAUCCUGGCUCAGAACGAACGUUGGCGGCGUGCUUAACACAUGCAAGUCGAGCGAGAACACUCCCUUCGGGGAGUUAGUACAGCGGCGGACGGGUGCGUAACACGUAGAUAACCUACCCCCGAGUUCGGGAUAACGGAUCGAAAGGCCCGCUAAUACCGGAUAAGACCACGCAACUGCGGUUGUGUGAGAAAAGAUGCUCGCAUGGGUGUCGCUUGAGGAUGGGUCUGCGGCCUAUCAGCUUGUUGGUGAGGUAACGGCUCACCAAGGCUUCGACGGGUAGCUGGUCUGAGAGGAUGGUCAGCCACACUAGGACUGAGACACGGCCUAGACUCCUACGGGAGGCAGCAGUGGGGAAUAUUGCGCAAUGGGCGAAAGCCUGACGCAGCAACGCCGCGUGAGUGACGAAGGCCUUCGGGUCGUAAAGCUCUGUCGCCUGGGAAGAACCACCUGUUUAACAAACAGGUCUGACGGUACCAGGAAAGGAAGCACCGGCUAACUCCGUGCCAGCAGCCGCGGUAAUACGGAGGGUGCAAACGUUGUUCGGAAUUAUUGGGCGUAAAGGGCGCGUAGGCGGCCAAGUAUGUCUGGUGUGAAAGCCCAUCUCUUAAAGAUGGAACUGCGCUGGAAACUGCUUGGCUAGAGUACUGGAGGGGGUGGCGGAAUUCCCGGUGUAGAGGUGAAAUUCGUAGAUAUCGGGAGGAACACCUGUGGCGAAGGCGGCCACCUGGACAGAUACUGACGCUGAUGCGCGAAAGUGUGGGGAGCAAACAGGAUUAGAUACCCUGGUAGUCCACACUGUAAACGUUGGGUGCUAGGUGUUGCGGGUAUUGACCCCUGCAGUGCCGAAGUUAACGCAUUAAGCACCCCGCCUGGGGACUACGGCCGCAAGGCUAAAACUCAAAGGAAUUGACGGGGGUCCGCACAAGCGGUGGAGCAUGUGGUUUAAUUCGACGCAACGCGAAGAACCUUACCCGGCCUUGACAUCCCAAGAACUUCCUAGAAAUAGGAAGGUGCCCUUCGGGGAACUUGGUGACAGGUGCUGCAUGGCUGUCGUCAGCUCGUGUCGUGAGAUGUUGGGUUAAGUCCCGCAACGAGCGCGCAACCCUUGCCUUUAGUUGCCAUCAUUUAGUUGGGCACUCUAGAGGGACCGCCGGGGUUAACCCGGAGGAAGGUGGGGAUGACGUCAAGUCCUCAUGGCCUUUAUGGUCGGGGCUACACACGUGCUACAAUGGGCGAUACAAACGGUUGCGAAACCGCGAGGUCAAGCUAAUCCGAUAAAAUCGUUCUCAGUUCGGAUUGCAGUCUGCAACUCGACUGCAUGAAGGCGGAAUCGCUAGUAAUCGCGUAUCAGAAUGACGCGGUGAAUACGUUCCCGGGCCUUGUACACACCGCCCGUC
rnacentral:rRNA from 1 species